UACAGAGGUGGCAAGCGUUGUUCGGAAUUACUGGGCGUAAAGGGCGCGUAGGCGGCCUUCUUAGUCGGACGUGAAAUCCCCGGGCUUAACUCGGGAACUGCGUCCGAUACUGGAAGGCUGGAGUUCGGGAGAGGAAUGUGGAAUUCCAGGUGUAGCGGUGAAAUGCGUAGAUAUCUGGAGGAACACCGGUGGCGAAGGCGGCAUUCUGGACCGAAACUGACGCUGAGGCGCGAAAGCCAGGGGAGCAAACGGG
rnacentral:rRNA from 1 species